GUAGGUGGCAAGCGUUGUCCGGAAUUAUUGGGCGUAAAGCGCGCGCAGGCGGUUCUUUAAGUCUGAUGUGAAAGCCCACGGCUCAACCGUGGAGGGUCAUUGGAAACUGGAGAACUUGAGUACAGAAGAGGAAAGCGGAAUUCCACGUGUAGCGGUGAAAUGCGUAGAGAUGUGGAGGAACACCAGUGGCGAAGGCGGCUUUCUGGUCUGUAACUGACGCUGAGGCGCGAAAGCGUGGGGAGCAAACAGGGAUUAGAUACCCAGGUAGUCCACGCCGUAAACGAUGAGUGCUAAGUGUUAGGGGGGGUUUCCGCCCCCUUAGUGCUGCAGCUAACGCAUUAAGCACUCCGCCUGGGGAGUACGGCCGCAAGGCUG
rnacentral:rRNA from 1 species